rnacentral:rRNA from 1 species
UACAGAGGUCCCAAGCGUUGUUCGGAUUCACUGGGCGUAAAGGGUGCGUAGGCGGUGUCCUAAGUCAGUUGUGAAAUACGGCAGCUUAACUGUCGAGGUGCAAUUGAUACUGGGAUACUUGAGUACUGAUGAGGUAUGCGGAAUGGACGGUGUAGCGGUGAAAUGCUUAGAUAUCGUCCAGAACACCGAUAGCGAAGGCAGCAUACUAAGGAGUAACUGACGCUGAGGCACGAAAGUGUGGGGAUCAAACAGG